GGAAGACUGGGGCUAAGGGAGGUGACACUGUUACUCCCCAGUAAGAAGGAAACACUUGUUCUCGUUUUUUCUCCAGCAUCAACCCUGACAUGCAAAACCUGUGCUGGUUCAGCAGAUGCCUGUCGUACUGCUCAAGGGACCUGCAGAGUAGACAAGGCUACAGGUGGCUGCUAUUCGACGGCAGAAGAAAUUACACUGGAUGGGGAAAAGACCAUGGGCUUCUCUAGUGGCUGUUUAGAGGACUAUAAUAUUGGCAUAAAAGGCCCCAUCACUGUCACUGUUGGGAGUGACACACAUCUGCAGACCAACACCUCCCUGUGCAACACAGACAAUAACUGUAACUCGGCCGUACCGGAAGUGCCCACGGGGAGCACCACCGAGAACGGGCUGCAGUGUCCAACCUGCCUGGAUCUGAAUUCCGCUACCUGCACCAGCACAAUCGCCCCUUGCACAGGGGAUGAGACCUAUUGCAUCGAUUUCAC
rnacentral:lncRNA from 1 species